CGUACCGUAAACCGACACAGGUAGUCGAGGAGAGUAUCCUAAGGCGCUCGAGUGAUCCGUGGCUAAGGAACUAGGCAAAAUGGUCUCGUAACUUCGGGAGAAGAGACUCCCCUCGUGAGAGGGGACGCAGUGAAGAGGCCCAGGCGACUGUUUAACAAAAACACAGGACUCUGCAAAAUCGUAAGAUGAAGUAUAGGGUCUGACACCUGCCCGGUGCUGGAAGGUUAAGGAAGGGGGUUAGUGCGUAAGUGCGAAGCUCUUAACUGAAGCCCCAGUAAACGGCGGCCGUAACUAUAACGGUCCUAAGGUAGCGAAAUUCCUUGUCGGGUAAGUUCCGACCUGCACGAAUGGUGUAACGAUCUGGGCACUGUCUCAGCCACGAGCUCGGUGAAAUUGAAGUAUCGGUGAAGAUGCCGAUUACCCGCAACGGGACGGAAAGACCCCGUGAACCUUUACUACAACUUCACAUUGAGCUUGAAUACAGGAUGUGUAGGAUAGGUGGGAGGCUACGAAGCUGUGACGCUAGUCAUGGUGGAGCCAACGUUGAAAUACCACCCUUCCUGUAUUUAGGUUCUAAUCCCUAAAAGGGAAACAGUGUGUGGUGGGUAGUUUGACUGGGGUGGUCGCCUCCAAAAAAGUAACGGAGGCUCGCAAAGGUACACUCAGCAUGGUCGGUAAUCAUGCGAAGAGCGUAUUAGUAUAAGUGUGCUUGACUGAGAGACCGACGGGUCGAUCAGGAACGAAAGUUGGCUAAAGUGAUCCGGUGUUUCCGCAUGGAAGGGACAUCGCUCAAAGGAUAAAAGGUACUCCGGGGAUAACAGGCUGAUCCUACCCAAGAGCUCAUAUCGACGGUAGGGUUUGGCACCUCGAUGUCGGCUCGUCACAUCCUGGGGCUGGAGAAGGUCCCAAGGGUUGGGCUGUUCGCCCAUUAAAGUGGCACGCGAGCUGGGUUCAGAACGUCGCAAGACAGUUCGGUCCCUAUCUGUUGUGGGCGCAGGAAUAUUGAAGGGAGCUGAUUCUAGUACGAGAGGACCGAAUUGGACGUACCGCUAGUGUACCGGUUGUGGCGCCAGCUGCACCGCCGGGUAGCUAUGUACGGCAAGGAUAAGCGCUGAAAGCAUCUAAGCGCGAAGCCAUCCCUAAGAUGAGUAUUCCAGCACGUAAGUGUAAAGGACCCCAGAAGACUACUGGGUUGAUAGGUUAUAGGUGGAAGUGCAGUAAUGUGCGUAGCCGAGUAAUACUAAUUGUCCGACAGCUUCCUUUU
rnacentral:rRNA from 1 species